UGGGGAAUAUUGCACAAUGGGCGCAAGCCUGAUGCAGCCAUGCCGCGUGUGUGAAGAAGGCCUUCGGGUUGUAAAGCACUUUCAGCGGGGAGGAAGGCGGUGAGGUUAAUAACCUCAUCGAUUGACGUUACCCGCAGAAGAAGCACCGGCUAACUCCGUGCCAGCAGCCGCGGUAAUACGGAGGGUGCAAGCGUUAAUCGGAAUUACUGGGCGUAAAGCGCACGCAGGCGGGCUGUCAAGUCGGAUGUGAAAUCCCCGGGCUCAACCUGGGAACUGCAGUCGAGACUGGCAGGCUAGAGUCGUGUAGAGGGGGGUAGAAGUCCAGGUGUAGCGGUGAAAUGCGUAGAGAUCUGGAGGAAUACCGGUGGCGAAGGCGGCCCCCUGGGCAAAGACUGACGCUCAGGUGCGAAAGCGUGGGGAGCAAACAGG
rnacentral:rRNA from 1 species